rnacentral:lncRNA from 1 species
UUGGGUUAUUCCUCAUCUACUUCGAGCAUCGCCGCCGUCAGGCCUGUUGGAAAUAUGCCCUAGAGGCAAUAAUAAAUUGGUUAUUAUUAUAUUUGCUUGUUCACGAUAAUCGUUUAUUAUUCAUGCUAGAAUUGUAUUGAUUGAAAACUCAAAUACAUGUGUGGAUACAUAGACAACACACUGUCCCUAGUGAGCCUCUAGUUAACUAGCUCGUUGAUCAAAGAUGGUCAAGGUUUCCUG